rnacentral:rRNA from 1 species
UACGUAGGGUGCAAGCGUUACUCGGAAUUACUGGGCGUAAAGCGUGCGCAGGCGGUUUUGUAAGUUUGUCGUGAAAGCCCCGGGCUCAACCUGGGAAUUGCGAUGAAGACUGCAAGGCUUGAAUCUGGCAGAGGGGGGUAGAAUUCCACGUGUAGCAGUGAAAUGCGUAGAGAUGUGGAGGAACACCGAUGGCGAAGGCAGCCCCCUGGGUCAAGAUUGACGCUCAUGCACGAAAGCGUGGGGAGCAAACAGG